UACGGGGGGGGCAAGCGUUGUUCGGAAUUACUGGGCGUAAAGGGCUCGUAGGCGGCCAACUAAGUCAGACGUGAAAUCCCUCGGCUUAACCGGGGAACUGCAUCUGAUACUGGAUGGCUUGAGUUCGGGAGAGGGAUGCGGAAUUUCAGGUGUAGCGGUGAAAUGCGUAGAUAUCUGGAGGAACACCGGUGGCGAAGGCGGCAUCCUGGACCGACACUGACGCUGAGGAGCGAAAGCGUGGGGAGCGAACAGG
rnacentral:rRNA from 1 species